rnacentral:rRNA from 1 species
GUGGGGAAUAUUGGACAAUGGGCGCAAGCCUGAUCCAGCCAUUCCGCGUGCAGGAUGAAGGCCUUCGGGUUGUAAACUGCUUUUGUACGGAACGAAAAGCCUCUGGUUAAUACCCGGGGGUCAUGACGGUACCGUAAGAAUAAGCACCGGCUAACUACGUGCCAGCAGCCGCGGUAAUACGUAGGGUGCGAGCGUUAAUCGGAAUUACUGGGCGUAAAGCGUGCGCAGGCGGUGAUGUAAGACAGUUGUGAAAUCCCCGGGCUCAACCUGGGAACUGCAGCUGUGACUGCAUUGCUGGAGUGCGGCAGAGGGGGAUGGAAUUCCGCGUGUAGCAGUGAAAUGCGUAGAUAUGCGGAGGAACACCGAUGGCGAAGGCAAUCCCCUGGGCCUGCACUGACGCUCAUGCACGAAAGCGUGGGGAGCAAACAGGAUUAGAAACCCGAGUAGUCC